UCACGUAGUCGCACACACAAGACAUUCCUUUUGGUGUAACUUUACAAGUUCCGUGUAUGUUUCGAGUGUCACUUGGCAACCCAAAGUUUCCGCACAUAGUGGUGCAAUAUUUGGGAUCAUGAUUGCAGGGGCCUGAUUUCAGUACUUUUUUUACAUUUAACGUGAAAACCAUCUUCAAACCUUCCUCCAAAAGUUUCUGGUUAUUUAGCAAAAAAAAAAAACAGUUUCUGGUUUUACUGAUAUCAUAAUAAAAGAUGAGUGAGUAAAAAACUUUUCAGUACAUAAUAAUAGUGGAUGGUAAGAAAACUAUACUGAAUUGAGUCAGAAAUAUUGAAGCCUUUACAAAUAGUACAUUUAAAAAAAAAGCACUAACUGUUUAGCUUGAUGGAUUGUUUGUCAAUAUAUCAUAUUCAUUAUUUUAUAAUUCAAUCCACAAAAAAAGACAAUUGUGACCUACUUUGGAACAUCUCCAAAAGCAACUUCAUUUUUAAAGUUAGCAAAACUUCAAAUUUGAAAUUUUGAGCAUAUUCCUUUCCCAAAGAACAACUUCAAAUUAAAUUUAAAAAGUUUUAAAUUUUACAUUAUAGUCAUUUUUAUUCAUAAAUGUUAAUAAAAAUCUUAAACUUUUUAUUUAGCAACAAAAUAUAUAAUAAAAAUAUUAUAUACAAUCAAUUAGUAAGAUAACACAUUUUAUUAGCAUAUUACAUGCAUUUCGAAAUAAUAACUGAGCCUUUUUAUUUUUAUUUGUAGAUUACGAGCUAAAAGUUAUUGAAAUUUUAUACUUUCGUUAUCGUUAGUUAAUGUAAUAAUUUUGUGUUCAUAUAAUGUAUAUUUUUGUAUUUUUUUAUAAGUUGUAUUAAAUGUGUAUUGUAAUAUUGUUUUGUAAAAUAUUUCGCUUAAAAAUAUUUGUGUUUUACAUAAGAUAAACAAAUUAGAAAAACUAAAAUGAUAGCUAUAAAAGUUAAAAUGAUUAUUAAAAAAAAAGAUAAUUGAAUGAAUUAAAAGUAUAUAAUUUUAAAUUUGAAGUUUCACAGUUCAAAAUGUUGAAAUUGCUUUUAGAGCAUACAAAACUUGUUAUUUGAUGUUUUACAGUUGCUUUUGGAAAUGUUCUAAGUAAGAAUAGAGAGGGUGAGAUAUAGUUAGUAGACAUAAACAUUAAUUCAUAUUGUUUAUCUCACCUGAAUUGAAUUUUACAUUCCUUUUAACUUAAAAAUGUGUGUUUUACUCCAAAAAAAAACUUUAAAAUAUGUAGAUAUAGUUUGUAUUUGUCGCGAGUUGAAAUUUUAUCUGAAAAUGUAUUUUUCUAAAACUAAUAAUUGAUUAUUUAAUAUUUUAAUAUACUUUUACCAUAUUAAAAAAUAGUACUUGAAACUUGGAAGUGCAUAUUGUAAUUAAGUAAGAGAAGAAACGUGGACCAAUUCUAGCAAAAAAAAAAAAACAUAAAUCAUGGGCAGAUCACAUCGCAUGGAGGAGACAAUUACCUGUUGAUAUCAACAUGAAGAUCAUCACAAAAGUGAUGAAGCUAAAAAAU
rnacentral:lncRNA from 1 species